GACGAACGCUGGCGGCGUGCCUAAUACAUGCAAGUUGAGCGCUGAAGGUUGGUACUUGUACCAACUGGAUGAGCAGCGAACGGGUGAGUAACGCGUGGGGAAUCUGCCUUUGAGCGGGGGACAACAUUUGGAAACGAAUGCUAAUACCGCAUAAAAACUUUAAACACAAGUUUUAAGUUUGAAAGAUGCAAUUGCAUCACUCAAAGAUGAUCCCGCGUUGUAUUAGCUAGUUGGUGAGGUAAAGGCUCACCAAGGCGAUGAUACAUAGCCGACUGAGAGGGUGAUCGGCCACAUUGGGACUGAGACACGGCCCAAACUCCUACGGGAGGCAGCAGUAGGGAAUCUUCGGCAAUGGACGAAAGUCUGACCGAGCAACGCCGCGUGAGUGAAGAAGGUUUUCGGAUCGUAAAACUCUGUUGGUAGAGAAGAACGUUGGUGAGAGUGGAAAGCUCAUCAAGUGACGGUAACUACCCAGAAAGGGACGGCUAACUACGUG
rnacentral:rRNA from 1 species